GUGGGUGGUGGAGGCAAAGGCUAGCCAGAGAGGGCCAGCAGCGCCCUGCUUGCCAAGGGCCCACAGAUAAGAGUAGAUGUGUUCCAGGCAGUAAGGUACACGAAGCGGUUCCCUAAUUUGUGCUUAUCAGCACAAUAGCUGUAGGAGUUUUCCAUGCCUUCAUGGGAUUAACAGAAGGGCUGAAGUUUAAGCUAAACAGCACGAAUCCCAAACUCUUUGGAAGUUAUUGGCGGGGAAAUGAGUCCUCAGGGUUGGCUCUGUCAAGCAGUUGCCCUAGGUAACUUUGUUCAGACUUCUCAUGGCUCCUGUAUCAGUACUGCGACCUCCAGACUAGCGUGGAAACACUUGUGGUUAGGCUUACAUUGCAACAAGAAGCAGCCUUAAACCUUUUGCAUUUGAAUAGGAAUGGAACAAAAUAAAAAGCUACAAUUCAGUUCAGCUGUGUAAGUAGCUUGCUGUACAUUAAGCUUCUAGGAACUUGUCUUCAGAGGAAUCUAUAAUGGUUGACAUCUGAUCACAGACCGUAUGGUAACUGUUGAGUCUCAGCCUGAACCACUGAUUGAGCACCUGGGGAAAGGACCUGGCCAGCCUUGGGAGCCCAGGUGAAGGCAGUUCAGCUGUGUGAAUGGAAGGGUUGGGAUCUGGCUACACCGCUCUUAGACUCUAUUUAAGGGCUGACUGCCACUGGGGAAGGAUCUCUGGUUGGAGAUCUCUCCCUUGUGGAGUGUUUCCUGUGAGCCUAGAUCUUCAGAGAUGGUGCUCCACUUUGGGAUACUGAGCCAUCACUGAGGUCCCACUCACCUGGUGGCACACUGUCCAGAGCAGGGCUCUGUGAAUGCAUCCAUUUGAGUGCAUCAACCCAUGUUUUCUCCUCCAUCCUGCCAAAGGUGUGGAGUGCCUCUUCUCUGAGGUGAAAAGCCACUAUCCUGUAUUGCUCUGGCUGUCCCUGUCUUGAACUGUCUGCUUCAGGGUGAAGUCCCAGUAUGGAGAGGAGCUCUUCCAUGGAUCGGUGGCUUUGUCCAAGACUACAGCUUUGCAAAGAAGAGCUCAUGGACCCAGCAGGGUGGUGUUUCUUGAAACCCCUUUUCAAGGAGAUACCUCCUUUUGGAGUUUUUUCUAUCUUGGCUGUUCAUGCUGAAGAACUGGCAUGGAGUUGAACACAAUCAUUCUGCUAUUUCAAAUGGCCAUUGCUGGAGCAGCAGCUGUGUGCCCCAGUGUCCUUUGGAAGCCAGGCCUGGUGUCCCCAUGCCCCUUGUGAUACUGUUGGACUGUUCUGCAGUAGUCAAAUGUUGGUCCCUUCAGUGAAAGAACCUGGUAAGAGGUCGUGCUGGCUGUGUGUUCUCCUCCAACCAUUCUCUUGAUGAAAUGACUCAACUCUGGAAGCUGAAAUAAUGAUUCAACCAAAAGCUUCAACAGCAGCUGCAGGAUGGCAGAAAACCUUGUGGGUGGACUUUCAGCUCUUCCAGCAACUAUGUAAAACCUUUCAGACAGUCAGCUUGACUGCCACUUUGUAAAUGGCAACAUUGGAUCAGUACAUCAGCAAGGAAUUAUAGGGCUGUGAUCCUUUACAUAAGGCUCUGCGACAUCCUCUGGGGGAUCUGCAUGGGUAGUGGAAAUAUGAGUUGUGCUGGAGGCCUACUGAAAUUGGGAGUCAACUUCUUGCACAAUCAGGCUUUGGAUCAAGGAAAUGGGUUGUUAGCUUAGCAUACUCCAGAGCUGCCUCCAGAGGGUCCCAAAAAUGAGAGCUCUCUAGAAGCUGGAGGAGUCUGAAAGCAUUUACAGGAACAAGCUGUCUUGAAAGAGCUGAGGAGGGAAAGCUUGAAUGCUGCUAGAGUUUGAGCUCCGAUGCCCAGAAGUAUUGCUACCAGGAAGAAAGAAGGCAGCAACUUCACAACUAGCAGCAGGAGUCAGAUCUACUUUCUAACAUGUCCUUCUGGGAGCUCCCCAGGGCCUAGAGAGGGCUCACUUCAUCAGUCUUUGCCAUAAUGGGGACACAAACAGAGAUUUUCUGCUCUAUUUGGUCACUAUUUUUCUUGCUGUUCAUAUGAAUUUGGUGUCUUGGAGGCGCUUCCUUCAAAUUCCAGUUGAAGAUAUGCAAAAGUUCCCAACAGCUCCCAGAGGCAGCUGUGCACAUGGUGUGACUGCACAUGGAAGAAGAUCCUGGUGUGAUGGGAGGAAUGGCUGUGGAGUCCUUCUGUAGCAGGUGCCACGUUCAUAGAUCUGAUCUUCAGGAAGAAUAAUCUCUGAAGGGAAAGCGAUGACUGCCCUGUGAUGCACUGUGCAGCUGUAAGUGGUGUUUCACUUUGAGGAAGUCAGCAACUCAUGUCAAAGGUCUUGUUUGCACUUGAUGCUGCCUCAGAAAGCCUGAGUCACUCUUCACCCUCAUUCACCCUGGUUACAUGUGUUUACUCUGUGGUUGUGUGGUGGUUGGGAAAGUCCUCAAGUACAAGGGAAGACAAAUCUGUCUUCUUCCUAAAAACUUAGUCCUACUGCUUUUAUAAUGAGAAGGCUGGUUGGCAUGUCAGUCCCAACAUAAGAGCUUGAAAAAAACGUAGUUUUGCUGUCUGCUUCUGCUCAGGGAUCUGAGCUCCAAAACAUGAAAUACAAGUUACUUUUAUGUCAGAAUAGAAUAUCAGAGAGUACCCUCUCAGUUCCUGCCCCAGGCCUAAGUCUCCAUCAGUAUGAAAAAAUGAAAUGAACAACUUUCUUUCCUAUUUUUUUACGCUGAAGGAUGUUCGAGUGUUCAGCCAAAGUUUGCUGCUUGCUUCUGUCUGUGUACAUGGAUAUCUAUGGAACUCAGUAUUUUCAUGCGUUACAAGAGUGUGCCCAGGUAUAACAGCAUAUGGGUUGGUGACAUCAGAAUAGUGGGACAGCACAAAAACUGGGCAGCUGCCACCAUUUCCCAAUCACGAAAUUCAGUUUCCUCUGUCAGUUGGUGUAAUGCAGCUGCUUGAGAGUCUCACUUUUGUUAUUUUGCUCCUUUUUCAAAGUUAACAGUAAAAGGACAUUCAUGAAUACCCUCUGGCUUAGGAACUUGAGGAAGCAGAAACUGAGAGCUUUAGUCACUUAUCUUCCACGGGCUGUCCCAAAGGGCUUUGCAUUUCAGCUGUUAUUUAUGGCUACCAGUAAAGGUGCUGGUUGGUAUGUUGGUCUGUUUGUUUGAGGCAAGACAGAGAUAGAUAUGGGGAAAUGGAAAAUACAGCCCUCAAAAAGUGGAGUUAAAGUGAUAGAUACACUUCAGUCUCAUAAAAGAGUUUGACUGCUCCCAGGUGCCUCAUGAGCUGCUCAGUUCAAGAGACAUGAAGCAGAGCUGUCACUGGGGCUGAUAGCUUGACUGUGCCAGGGAGAGUGGGUAUGGCUGGUGGCGUGUGUUCAUGCUGAUGGCAGGAAGCAAGUGGACCCACCAGCCUAGAGCAGAACACAGCAGGCUUGGGCUGUGUGUCCUCAAAACAGAGGAGUAGCUGGGAGGCAUCUUGGGGCAGUGUGAGCAAAGGGCAGUGAUCUGCAUUGGUUUGUGAGACACUCUGGGUGUACUUCAAUCACUAGCCCUGCCUCAGGGCCAUGUUCAGAUCAGAAAGAAAUCUGCAAGUAUUUUCUCUUUUGUUUUUGUUUUGUUUGUUGGAAGCUGGGGCUUUUUGGUGGUGGGUAUGUGUGUCCCACAAGAAGCUAUUUCUAGCCUAGUGUUAUUUGGGUUGGUUUUUUUUUUUUUGUUGUUUGUUUGUUGUUUUUUGGUUUUUUUUUUGAAGGGGAACCAUGCAAAAUGCUUAAUUGUUGCUAAUCAAACCCUCACUUAUCCAACACCUUUAUCCCAAAGCCUAAGGUGUGAUUUCUUGGAAUGUUAUGCACAUUUCACUGGGAAAAGUGACCCUUCCCAGAAAGAAGAGUUACCAAGAAGCCAACCUCAGAAAAAGACCUCAAAAAAAUUCCAGUUUUAUGAAACAUUUCUCAGAAGGCAAGAAACAAUCCCCUGCCUCCCUCCCUGUGAUUAAACAAGGCUGAGCGGAUGGGCAAGAUGCAGCUUGACAGAGAAGGGACUUAUGUGCACUGCUGUUAACCUGGCAGAAGCCAGCAACUCCCACCAAUACCUACAGUGAACCAGGACUGGGAACGUGCCCCAGCAACAAGAAAGUAAGAACUGAGCAAGAAGAAAUAGGUAUAUGCCAGUGUCUUAAUUCCAUCUUCAGGGGAAACUUGGCACAGAAAUCCAAUGAAAAGAAAGGAAAUAGUAUUCUUUUUGGACCUGGGGAAAGUUUAUGGGGAAAGUUUAACUCCAUUCACCAAGGUGUCAAAUAGCAGGUGAGUGAACUUGAAAAAAAGAAUGGCACAGCUCAAAAUAUUAUGGCUGUAGUUUGCCCUACAUGGUCCGCUAGUGCCAAGAUGACUGCUGAGAGGCUGUUCAAGUUACUCUGGUAACAGACUUUUGGGAACACUGACAUAAGGCACAGCAAUAGCACAGGUGAUGUACUCCUCCCUCUUGUGUAAUUCCAUCAGUGACUAUCUUGCCCAUCAUCAGGUUUGAAUAAGGUCCUUCAAACAGCAUUAAAAGUAAAAAGAAUGGUGCUAAUAAUCUUGUGGCUGCUGAUUACAGUAGGCAUCCUGUAGUUCAGCUGCAGGGACAUCAUAAUGAAAGUGUGAGAUGCGUUGUAUACGGACAGACAAGCCUGGUUCUGCUCCACAAUGAUUCCCCAGCCUGAUGGGUUUCCAGCAGUGGGACACAAGUGCCCUGAGGACAUCAUGCCACAGUGAGUGACUUCCAUGAUUGCCACCACUGCUGGCUGUAUCAGCAGGGGAUUGAACACACUAUAAGGAAUGAGCUCUGAAAAGUGCCUCUCUUAAAGGGUCAGGGCACACAGGAAGCAGUGAAAGGGUGCAAGUAUUUGUGGACAGACAGCUGACGGGAGGCUGCAAGGCUGCUAUUGUAGCAUAUUUCACUGUUGUUCAAAAUCUAUGUGUAUAUAUAUAAAAUGGUAAAAAAGCUGAAAGAAAGCAAUAGUAUGAAGGUCUGAAAUGGAAAGCUGCAAGAAACUGAAAAAGCAGUUUUGAAGAUCUAUGUGCCUGGGUAUGGCUGUGGGUGGAAGACAGGGAAUAUGGCAUAGAUCUCUUGCAGACUUCUUCCACAGUGGAGAAGUUUACCAUCUUUUCCUCAACCUUCCUGUAGGACUUCCAGGAAUCCUGCACUCCUUCAUUUUGAGCCUUGAGCUGGCAUUUUUAAAGUACUAUAUGCGGUGGCUACAGGGGUGAACGAUAGAUAGAAUGAUAGAUAGAAGAGAACUGCAUGUCUGUGUAGACAUUUCUGUGAGUUCCUGUCUUAUACUUUGUUGGUGUAGUGCCUCAGCUCUCAGAGUUUGCCAGUGUCCAAGAAGUGCCCUGGUCUGCCUCAGAAGAGACCUGACUGCAGCGAGCAGGGCGUUUUCAAAUUCUUGUUCAUAUUUGAGAGCUCUCUGAAUUAGUGGCUGUUUUAGGUGACUCCUAUGCUAGAAAGAAAAAGGAAGCAUUGGUUUGAAUUGUUGAUUACUAGUGUUUCACAAUGACCUUGCAAUUGCCUGCAAGCAGAGUCAACCAUGUAUCAAACACCAGGAUUAAGCAACAGCAAUGUAAUCCGGCCUUGGGGUUAUUCCAUGUACAUUCCCUGCUUACUAUGUGGUUUUGAAUUUCCCUAAAACAGUAUUUUCAUGAACUUAAGCAGUGAAAACAAAAUCCCCCUUCAAUGCUUUUUUGUUCCUUUUUGUAGAUGUUACUGUCUCACCAAGAAGAUGAAUUUGAUCAUGAAAUGCCAUGCUUCCAUUUCUCAGUUCUUCCUCUCCCUGAGUGAAGACCUCUGUCCCCUUUGUCUAUGUUGUAAUAGAAAGAUCUUGUUGGUAGCUCAGGUAGGUGCUAUACAGUACAGGCUUAUGAACAUGUAUAGGAUCACAGUACCUGUAGAUGGGACAGCUGCUUCUGCUUCACUGAGAACAGUGUUAAUCAGAGCUGUUAAUCAGAGCUGAAAUGGGAACUGGAUCUCCAGUCGUUACUUUUAUUUAUGUAUAUUGCUCAUACUUGCCAAAGUGCAGGCCCUCUCCUGAUCUUGGAAAUUUCCACUGGCUCCACUUACACAGGGUGUCAGGAUUUGACUUCAUGUGUUCAAAGCUACCAUGCUGGUCAAGGUUAUUCUAUACAUUUUUAUUUAGUAAAACUUGUUAACUCUGGACUGUACCCAGUAGAAAGCCAAGUCCCAGCUCUGCUGGCUCUGACAUGGUUAAUAACAUGCUGUGAUGCGUUUGGACUUAGAUCUCACUCCUCUA